rnacentral:rRNA from 1 species
UACGUAGGGGGCAAGCGUUGUCCGGAUUUAUUGGGCGUAAAGAGCGUGUAGGCGGCCACACAGGUCAGCUGUGAAAACUCGAGGCUCAACCUCGAGACGUCGGUUGAAACCGUAUGGCUAGAGUCCGGAAGAGGAGAGUGGAAUUCCCGGUGUAGCGGUGAAAUGCGCAGAUAUCGGGAAAGAACACCGUGCGAAGGCGGCUCUCUGGGACGGUACUGACGCUGAGACGCGAAAGCGUGGGGAGCGAACAGG